AUCCAGACUCCUACGGGAGGCAGCAGUGGGGAAUAUUGCACAAUGGGGGAAACCCUGAUGCAGCGACGCCGCGUGAAGGAAGAAGUGUUUCGGUAUGUAAACUUCUAUCAGCAGGGAAGAAAGUGACGGUACCUGACUAAGAAGCCCCGGCUAACUACGUGCCAGCAGCCGCGGUAAUACGUAGGGGGCAAGCGUUAUCCGGAUUUACUGGGUGUAAAGGGAGCGUAGGCGGCGAUGCAAGUCAGAAGUGAAAGCCCGGGGCUCAACCCCGGGACUGCAUUUGGAACUGUGUGGCUGGAGUGUCGGAGAGGCAGGCGGAAUUCCUAGUGUAGCGGUGAAAUGCGUAGAUAUUAGGAGGAACACCAGUGGCGAAGGCGGCCUGCUGGACGAUGACUGACGUUGAGGCUCGAAAGCGUGGGGAGCAAACAGGAUUAGAUACCCGUGUAUCA
rnacentral:rRNA from 1 species